rnacentral:rRNA from 1 species
UACAGAGGGUGCAAGCGUUAAUCGGAAUUACUGGGCGUAAAGCGUGCGUAGGUGGUUGGAUAAGUCAGGUGUGAAAUCCCCGAGCUUAACUUGGGAAUUGCGCUUGAGACUGUCCGACUAGAGUGUGGUAGAGGGUAGUGGAAUUCCGCAUGUAGCGGUGAAAUGCGUAGAUAUGCGGAGGAACAUCAGUGGCGAAGGCGGCUACCUGGACCAACACUGACACUGAGGUACGAAAGCGUGGGGAGCAAACAGG